rnacentral:rRNA from 1 species
AAGACCUUGCACUUUUGGAGCGGCCGAUGUCUGAUUAGCUAGUUGGUGGGGUAAUGGCCUACCAAAGCUUCGAUCAGUAGCUGGUCUGAGAGGACGGCCAGCCACACUGGGACUGAGACACGGCCCAGACUCCUACGGGAGGCAGCAGUGGGGAAUUUUGGACAAUGGGCGCAAGCCUGAUCCAGCCAUGCCGCGUGAGUGAAGAAGGCCUUUGGGUUGUAAAGCUCUUUCAGCCGGGAAGAAAAGGUUGCGACUAAUAAUCGCAAUUCAUGACGGUACCGAAAGAAGAAGCACCGGCUAACUACGUGCCAGCAGCCGCGGUAAUACGUAGGGUGCGAGCGUUAAUCGGAAUUACUGGGCGUAAAGGGUGCGCAGGCGGUUUUGUAAGUCAGAUGUGAAAUCCCCGGGCUUAACCUGGGAACU